GGAAGGCAGCAGUGGGGAAUAUUGCACAAUGGGCGCAAGCCUGAUGCAGCCAUGCCGCGUGUAUGAAGAAGGCCUUCGGGUUGUAAAGUACUUUCAGCGGGGAGGAAGGCGAUAAGGUUAAUAACCUUGUCGAUUGACGUUACCCGCAGAAGAAGCACCGGCUAACUCCGUGCCAGCAGCCGCGGUAAUACGGAGGGUGCAAGCGUUAAUCGGAAUUACUGGGCGUAAAGCGCACGCAGCGGUCUGUCAAGUCGGAUGUGAAAUCCCCGGGCUCAACCUGGGAACUGCAUUCGAAACUGGCAGGCUAGAGUCUUGUAGAGGGGGGUAGAAUUCCAGGUGUAGCGGUGAAAUGCGUAGAGAUCUGGAGGAAUACCGGUGGCGAAGGCGGCCCCUGGACAAAGACUGACGCUCAGGUGCGAAAGCGUGGGGAGCAACAGGAUUAGAUACCUGGUAGUCCACGCCGUAAACGAUGUCGAUUUGGAGUUGUGCCUGAGGCGUGCUUCCGGAGCUAACGCGUAAAUCGCC
rnacentral:rRNA from 1 species